rnacentral:rRNA from 1 species
CCUACGGGGUGCAGCAGUCGAGAAUCAUUCACAAUGGGGGAAACCCUGAUGGUGCGACGCCGCGUGGGGGAAUGAAGGUCUUCGGAUUGUAAACCCCUGUCAUGUGGGAGCAAAUUAAAAAGAUAGUACCACAAGAGGAAGAGACGGCUAAAUCUGUGCCAGCAGCCGCGGGAAUACAGAGGUCUCAAGCGUUGUUUGGAAUCACUGGGCGUAAAGCGUGCGUAGGCUGUUGCGUAAGUCGGGGGUGAAAGGCGCGGGCUCAACCCGAGGACGGCACAUGAUACUGCGAGACUAGAGUAAUGGAGGGGGAACCGGAAUUCUCGGUGUAGCAGUGACAUGCGUAGAUAUCGAGCGGAACACUCGUGGCGAAGGCGGGUUCCUGGACAUUAACUGACGCUGAGGCACGAAGGCCAGGGGAGCGAAAGGGAUUAGAUACCCGAGUAGUC